rnacentral:rRNA from 1 species
GCGAGUCGAACGAAGUAGCAAUACUUAGUGGCAGACGGGUGAGUAACAUGUGGGUAUCUUCCCUUUGGUGAGGAAUAACACGAGGAAACUUGUGCUAAUACCUCAUAAGUCUUUACGGAGAAAGCUUUAUGCGCCAAUGGAUGAGCCCGCACUUGAUUAGUUUGUUGGUGGGGUAAUGGCCUACCAAGACUUUGAUCAAUAGCUGAUUUGAGAGGAUGAUCAGCCACAUUGGGACUGAGACACGGCCCAAACUCCUACGGGAGGCAGCAGUAGGGAAUCUUGCACAAUGGAGGAAACUCUGAUGCAGCGAUGCCGCGUGAGUGAAGAAGGCCUUUGGGUUGUAAAGCUCUUUCGUCGGGGAAGAAAAUGACUGUACCCGAAUAAGAAGGUCCGGCUAACUUCGUGCCAGCAGCCGCGGUAAUACGAAGGGACCUAGCGUAGUUCGGAAUUACUGGGCUUAAAGAGUUCGUAGGUGGUUAAAAAAGUUGGUGGUGAAAUCCCAGAGCUUAACUCUGGAACUGCCAUCAAAACUUUUUAGCUAGAGUAUGAUAGAGGAAAGCAGAAUUUCUAGUGUAGAGGUGAAAUUCGUAGAUAUUAGAAAGAAUACCAAUUGCGAAGGCAGCUUUCUGGAUCAUUACUGACACUGAGGAACGAAAGCAUGGGUAGCGAAGAGGAUUAGAUACCCUCGUAGUCCAUGCCGUAAACGAUGUGUGUUAGACGUUGGAAAUUUAUUUUCAGUGUCGCAGCGAAAGCAAUAAACACACCGCCUGGGGAGUACGACCGCAAGGUUAAAACUCAAAUGAAUUGACGGGGACCCGCACAAGUAGUGGAGCAUGUGGUUUAAUUCGAAGAUACGCGCAGAACCUUACCAACACUUGACAUGUUCGUCGCGACUCUAAGAGAUUA